CUGCACAAACGUAGAAAAGGCUAUGCUAAAAUUUAUUGAAAUACCGUAGCCUUAAGCGACAGUGCAAAGAGAAAACGCUGAGUUAACUCAGCGGCGGCCAGACAACCGCUGAGAUGAAUCCACAGAUGAGUUCCAUUUUACAAUCCUACUUGUCUACUAAUUUCAUCUCACAAUU
rnacentral:snoRNA from 1 species